rnacentral:piRNA from 1 species
UUCACAGGAAUGAGAUAGAUUUAGGUAGAC